UGCCCUUAGGAAAGGUUGCAUCAAUUUAUUCUCUCACGGGCUGGGUGGAAAGGGGUCCACUGACAGGAAUUCGUUGUUAAACUGCAGUGUCUGGGUACCCAGAAUAUGCUAUGCUUUGAACGCGCUGCCCCCGGGAGAGUUGAUUUGGGCCCGCCAAAUCCGUAAGUGCCAACUGUCCAGCCCUAACCGGGCCUGUGGCCGAGGAGCACUGUCUGUUCUCUGACACCCUCCCCCCAGAGCCUGGGCCUCCAGAGAGGCCUGCUUCCCCUGGGGACUGGCCAAUGCCUCUGACUCAGCCCUUUUGCACCGCUGGUGUCCUGGGAAUAAUAAGCAACAACAAACUCUUAUACAGCGCUUUCUUGGUGUGAGCCACUGUCCCAGCCCCUUACUAAUAGCGACUCCUUUAAUUUUCGUGGCAACCUUAGAAAGCAGGGACUCUCAUUAUUACCAUUUUGUGGAUGGGGAACGGAAGUUCAGAGAGGUUAAGUGAUAUGCCCAAGGUCACACAGCUUGGAGUGCUGGAGCAAAGAUGCCUCGUGGUAUCUUAAAAUGUACUGUUUGGCAAAUGCUGAUUUAGUUCAACUCCUCCUAAGACCUAAGGCCAACAGUAAAACUGAAGCCCAAGACGUGGGAGGAUUUGCCCAAGGCCGCAUAAUCAGAAGAAAAUCCAGCCAUUCUGACUCGGAACUGUCUCAGCAGGCCUGGCUUUGAAUUUCAGAUGUUGCCAUGGAGGACCAGGGGAUCUCAGGCUGGGAUGUGGCGGCAAGGACCCCGGGCCCGGCGUCCUGGGCAGGCCUAGACUCUUCCUGCUGCUGACUCAUGGCGUGACCUCGGACAAGUUCUGCUUGGGCCUCAGCCUCCUCAGCUGGGAAAUGGGAGCAGACAGCCCUGCUUCUCAGGGCCGGAGUGAGGAUUACUUGGAAGAAGGAAUCUAAGAGUCUUAGUCCAGUUUUUGGUACCUAGUAGGUGCUCAAUAAAUCAUCAAAUCUCUUCUGGCCUCCCAAUUCCCAAGACAGCCUGAGUUUGAAUCCGGGCGGCCUUGGACAAGUUACUUUCAGCUUUCUGUGCCUCAGUUUCCUCAUCUGUGAAAAGAGGAGACAAACAGGCCCCACCUCCUCUGGUUGCCUUCACUGAGAUGCAGGUAAAGGGCGGAGUGCGGUGCCUAGCGGAGAGUAAAUGCUCAAUCAAGGUCCCAAUUAGUAUCCUCAUAGUGACUGUCAGGCCUCAGCGCCCUUAUCUGGAACAAGGGGCCCCAUUCCUCUUGAAACCUGCGCUGAUCAUUUGCUCUAUCAUAGCAUAGCACUUGACACACUCUUCUAGACUGUGCUGUGACACUGUGCCCCAUCUCGUCCUUGUCUUUGUAUUUCUUCUCUAUCUGUUUGACUUACCCUUUCUAUUAAUUUUUUUCUCUGUCAAAACCUGUGACGUGGUUUCUACUUCCCUGACUGUGCUCUGACUGGUAGAUUCAGCCCUCAAAGGCCCCAGCCACUGGGUCAGGUUAAGGUGUCUCCUGGAAGCCAGGGAGAGGACAGCUUUUCCACAAAGAUAACUUCUGCUGCCUGCAUUCCUGAGCCCUGAAGUCACCUGUGUCACGCUGUCACAGCUCACCCUCUAAGGGAACAAACAUUCUCUUGGCCAUUCCCGGGGCUGAGGCCUACACCCUUCUCCCGGGUUCUCUCUCACUCCUGCCCCUCACUCACCAGACA